GAUGAACGCUAGCUACAGGCUUAACACAUGCAAGUCGAGGGGAAACGACGUCGAAAGCUUGCUUUUGAUGGGCGUCGACCGGCGCACGGGUGAGUAACGCGUAUCCAACCUGCCCAUCACUUGGGAAUAACCUUGCGAAAGUAAGACUAAUACCCAAUGAUAUCCCACGAAGGCAUCGGAAUGGGAUUAAAGAUUUAUCGGUGAUGGAUGGGGAUGCGUCUGAUUAGCUUGUUGGCGGGGUAACGGCCCACCAAGGCAACGAUCAGUAGGGAUUCUGAGAGGAAGGUCCCCCACAUUGGAACUGAGACACGGUCCAAACUCCUACGGGAGGCAGCAGUGAGGAAUAUUGGUCAAUGGGCGAGAGCCUGAACCAGCCAAGUAGCGUGCAGGAAGACGGCCCUAUGGGUUGUAAACUGCUUUUAGAAGGGAAUAAAGUGGGUCACGUGUGACUUUUUGCAUGUACCUUAUGAAUAAGGACCGGCUAAUUCCGUG
rnacentral:rRNA from 1 species